rnacentral:rRNA from 1 species
UUUUACAAUGAAGAGUUUGAUCCUGGCUCAGGAUGAACGCUAGCGGCAGGCCUAAUACAUGCAAGUCGAACGGUAACAUUGGUGCUUGCACCAGAUGACGAGUGGCGCACGGGUG